UGUUGAUAUGCUCCUUCUCCCCUUAACGCAGGCAAAGCUAAGAUUUCAAGAAACGCUUCCCAUAAUCAAAGAAAUGCAACUUCUUUAAUUCAAAAAGGUCUGGAUGUUGACGUGCUCCUUCUUCCCGUAACGCAGGCAAAGCUAAGAUUUCACGAAAAGCUUCCCAUUAUCAAAGAAAUGCAACUUCUUUAAUUCAAGAAGGUCUGACGCCAAAGACAACGCAAGAUAUCAGGACUGAUGAAGCAUAUCUAUCAUGUUCCUCAGACCAACAAUAUGUCGUACUAAAAGGGGGCUAGAAAAGACAAUUGUUUCACAAGCCUAAUCCAAAUCGGAGAAAUACAAAGAGGUUGGAUUACCAACAGAAAAAGUAAAAUAAAAUAAAAUAAAAUAAAGAAAUCCAGGUCAACAGUGUGAAGAAGGAGAACAAUAAAUCUAAAUUUCAAGAAAAUAAAAAAUCCAGGAAAGAGGGGAAGGUGAAGAGAAAAAGCAGAAGAACAAUAUAAGAGAAGAAGCAACGGUUGGAUCAAGAAGAGGUCAGAGAGAUGAUGUUUCGCCUACCGUCGCCAUCGGGGGUAGGACACCGGAGAUCUUCGAUUUUAAAGGGUUCGAAGGAAGGAGAAUGUUGAGCUCAAUCGUUCGAAGUCACGGUAGGUUUUCCUCUUCCUCCACCGACGGUGGGAUGUGGGAGAGAGAGAGACCGCGGCGGUAGAGUCCAC
rnacentral:lncRNA from 1 species